CCUGGUGGCUCAGUUGGUAAAGAAUUUGCCUGCAAUGCAAGAGACCCGGGUUCAAUCCCCGGGUCAGGA
rfam:TPA: Bos taurus chromosome 9, whole genome shotgun sequence.